rnacentral:rRNA from 1 species
CGGGCCUCUUGCCAUCGGAUGUGCCCAGAUGGGAUUAGCUUGUUGGUGGGGUAACGGCUCACCAAGGCGACGAUCCCUAGCUGGUCUGAGAGGAUGACCAGCCACACUGGAACUGAGACACGGUCCAGACUCCUACGGGAGGCAGCAGUGGGGAAUAUUGCACAAUGGGCGCAAGCCUGAUGCAGCCAUGCCGCGUGUAUGAAGAAGGCCUUCGGGUUGUAAAGUACUUUCAGCGGGGAGGAAGGGAGUAAAGUUAAUACCUUUGCUCAUUGACGUUACCCGCAGAAGAAGCACCGGCUAACUCCGUGCCAGCAGCCGCGGUAAUACGGAGGGUGCAAGCGUUAAUCGGAAUUACUGGGCGUAAAGCGCACGCAGGCGGUUUGUUAAGUCAGAUGUGAAAUCCCCGGGCUCAACCUGGGAACUGCAUCUGAUACUGGCAAGCUUGAGUCUCGUAGAGGGGGGUAGAAUUCCAGGUGUAGCGGUGAAAUGCGUAGAGAUCUGGAGGAAUACCGGUGGCGAAGGCGGCCCCCUGGACGAAGACUGACGCUCA